ACUUGUAACAUACCGAACUUUUAAAACUUUUAAGUUACGGUGUACAUUUGGUUGAAAAGCCAUUUGAAUGGUCCCGGUGGAGUUCGGUAAAGUUCUGGAGCAAUCGGGCGUUUCGGUGCGCGUAGGUGCGAAAACGGAACCCGAAAGGUUAUGUUGGACCAUGGACUAAAUCCAGCAUUAGCGUGGAUGAAAAGAUGAUGAAAACAUGCUUGAAAACAAAUUUGGAGAGUUUCGGUUCGAUUUGAAACGAAUCGGAUGUCAAACGAGCGAAAACGGAGCGAAAACGGUGAAAAUGCUGAAAAAUUGGCUAAGUCCUGAAAAAAGGGCUGUGUACCGGUGACAAGAUUUCGUGUACCGGUACGCAGUGUAAAAUCCGAGAAGAUAGCCCUCGAGUUUGGCUGUUGCACAAGUCGUGUACCGGUGACACCAGCCCGUGUACCGGUACGCGGGGGACCCGACAGCACAAUGAAGUCUACUGCAAAUAAAAAUAGUUGGGGGGCUUAUUUGCAAUUGUGGCACACUCCAUAUGUUCCCAAACACCCCUUCACAGCAGCAAACACCUCUCUCCCUUAUUUCUUCUCCCUUUCUCUCUCUAAAAGCUCUCCACCAAAGCUUAAAGAGAAGGAGAAGAAGGUCUUG
rnacentral:lncRNA from 1 species